rnacentral:rRNA from 1 species
AGUGAACGCUGGCGGCAGGCUUAACACAUGCAAGUCGAGCGCCCCGCAAGGGGAGCGGCAGACGGGAGAGUAACACGUGGGAACAUACCUUUUGGUUCGGAACAACUGAGGGAAACUUCAGCUAAUACCGGAUAAGCCCUUACGGGGAAAGAUUUAUCGCCGAAAGAUUGGCCCGCGUCUGAUUAGCUAGUUGGUGAGGUAACGGCUCACCAAGGCGACGAUCAGUAGCUGGUCUGAGAGGAUGAUCAGCCUCACUGGGACUGAGACACGGCCCAGACUCCUACGGGAGGCAGCAGUGGGGAAUAUUGGACAAUGGGGGCAACCCUGAUCCAGCCAUGCCGCGUGAGUGAUGAAGGCCUUAGGGUUGUAAAGCUCUUUUGCCCGGGAAGAUAAUGACGGUACCGGGAGAAUAAGCCCCGGCUAACUUCAUG